rnacentral:rRNA from 1 species
GGGGGGGGGGGGGGGGGGGGGGGGGGCGUGGGGGUCGGGGGGGAGGGCGCUGGUGUUGGGGGGGGCUCGAGUGGCGAACGGGUGAGUAACACGUGAGUAACCUGCCCUUGACUUUGGGAUAACUUCAGGAAACUGGGGCUAAUACCGGAUAGGAGCUCCUGCUGCAUGGUGGGGGUUGGAAAGUUUCGGCGGUUGGGGAUGGACUCGCGGCUUAUCAGCUUGUUGGUGGGGUAGUGGCUUACCAAGGCUUUGACGGGUAGCCGGCCUGAGAGGGUGACCGGCCACAUUGGGACUGAGAUACGGCCCAGACUCCUACGGGAGGCAGCAGUGGGGAAUAUUGCACAAUGGGCGGAAGCCUGAUGCAGCAACGCCGCGUGCGGGAUGACGGCCUUCGGGUUGUAAACCGCUUUCGCCUGUGACGAAGCGUGAGUGACGGUAAUGGGUAAAGAAGCGCCGGCUAACUACGUG